AUGCUCACUUCGGCAGCACAUAUACUAAAAUUAGAAUGAUACAGAGAAGAUUAGUGUGACCCCUGUGCAAGGAUAACAUGCAAAUUCAUGAACUGUUCCAUAUGGAG